rnacentral:tRNA from 1 species
UGACUCGUGGCGCAGGGGCACAAGUGUGCGACCAUAAAUAUUACAAGUUGUGGGUUCGAUUCCCACUCGAGGCAA